AGUGGAGGAAAGGCAGACCAAGGAGCAGAGCUGCACAACUUGGGACGGAGUUUGCCUUGUCAGGAAACCAGCGCUCUGUUGCCAAGGACAGGACAUCGGAGGAGAGCAUUACUCCAGGGACCCUUCAGGAGACACCUCCAUCCGUGUGGUUUUUGACUCCAGAGAAACUUCCAUCAUUACCUCCAAAAGCGAAGACGAUUUUUUAACCCUGGCCGCCUCCAGGCUGAGCCGCAAAAAAAGGGUCAUUGGGGCCGCCAUCGGGGUGGCCAUGGUGCUGGUACUCUUGGUGGCCAUCCCUUUGCUGGUGCACAGCUCCAAAACUACCUCCCACUAUGAGAUGUUGGGCAGCUGUCGCAUGGUCUGUGAUCCGUACACUCCCCAGACCCACGGGGCAGCUUCAGCGGAGGCAAGCCAAGAACUGGCUCUCAUCUCGCCGCCACCUUAUGUGUCUGGAGGGAAAGGAGACCCGGGGAGAAAGGCCAAAUCUGGAAUCCGUGGGCCGCCAGGACCUCCAGGGCCACCUGGGCCCCGAGGUCCAGCUGGAGAGCCGGGGAGACCAGGUCCCCCGGGCCCACCAGGUCCGGGUCCUGGAGGUUACAUCCCAUCUUUCUACAGCCCUAAAAUUGCCUUUUAUGCAGGAUUGCGAAAACCACACGAAGGGUAUGAGAUCCUUCGUUUUGAUGAUGUGGUGACUAAUGUGGGAAACUACUAUGAACCAUCAAGUGGCAAGUUUACCUGCCCUCUCCCUGGCAUCUACUUCUUCACCUACCAUGUGCUCAUGCGUGGUGGUGAUGGUACCAGCAUGUGGGCAGAUCUGAUGAAGAACGGGCAGGUCCGUGCCAGUGCAAUUGCACAAGAUGCUGACCAGAACUACGACUAUGCCAGCAACAGCGUGAUCCUGCACCUGGAUGUAGGUGAUGAAGUCUUCAUCAAGCUGGAUGGCGGGAAGGUUCAUGGUGGGAACACCAACAAGUACAGCACGUUCUCUGGAUUCAUCAUCUACCCAGACUGAGCUUUCCCGGCUCCAGUUUUUCCUUCCCUGUUUUGCCUCCCCAAAUCCUUUCCCCACACACACACUCCUUUUCACCCAUCGAACCUACCUGUUCAAUUGCUGGUGAAGAGAUGCAUAAUCCUCAUUAAAGAUCUCAACUGAUGGCUAACAAAAAUAGACUAUGUUUUUCCAAGCAGAAUAGCCAAUGUGAAGUUAUUUGUGGGAUGGAGUACUUCAAACAAGCUUUACUUUCCGCAGUCCUAUUGUCCACAGAAAUUUGUGUUGGCCUCCGUAGAAUCUGAAAUAUAUCAGCAUGAGAAAACAUUCAGAUAAAACUGUGCAUAUGAGGCCGAAGUUUUCCAAUAUGAGAUUGUUCUAUUGAAAGCAAUGGGGGAGAUCUCCUUUUUUAUUUAUGCCUCCUACCUUGCUUUUCAACAGACAUUAGACAGUUCAACCUCAAUUCCUAUCAAGCUUUGUACACUUAUUCACAGAUUCUGAGUGCAGCUGUUCCAGAGGACAAUCUUUUGUUCACCUGCAUGAAGAUAUAUAAAUAAUAUGAAAACAGACUUUAGACAUCAAGCCAGUGGUGUCUGUUCCACUUUCCACAUAGUCCUUUUGAACUCAGAAAUGAGACUUAUACUAUCCUGAAUCACAGAUCCUCAGAUCAAAAGAUGACUCUACUACUGAACAAGAAGAGCAGCAAAUGUUCUUUUUGGCUGCCACUCUGGAAUCAGCCAAAGGGCUGAUGGAUGGACUUUGUCAUGUUCCUCAAAAACAGCACAGCCAGCCCAACAGGCAUCAAUAGAAGCUUGAGAUGUCUCACUCUGACCUCACUUUCUCCUUGACCUAUCCACCAAAGACUGCAUCACUCAUAUUCAUACUUCAGGUAUGUAUAUUUGCCAGCAAGACAUCCAUAGCAGCAUCUGCACAUUCAUUCUAGCAUGUGACUCCUUCAUUUGCAGAGCUACGGCAAUCUUAUUCCAGCUGCAUCCCCAACACAUGUCCAUAUGUAUCAGAAGAACUCCCGGAUGCAAACAAAGUCAUGCUGCACCCAUGCGCUUCAAUAAGGACGGGAACAGAUUGAAGCAAUGAAGCAACCGGCUUCAAGUAGCACCGUGAGGGGUUGAGAUGGAAGAAAGCAAGAGAACUGAAUGAAAUGUUGAACUGGUGGAGGACACAUCUUGUUGGCUGUUCUUCAGACGGAACAUCUCUUAGCCUGACAUUGCUAUCCUGACCUGUCCAACAGGGGCUUAUCAAUUAAAACUGCAUUCACAUUAAGCCAAAACCAUGCAAUCAUUUCAGACUAUUUCUCCCCCAGUCCGUGGCAUGACUAUAAUAAUUCCCGAGCUUCUGCAACCAAGUGCAUGUUACCUUUACAUUGCUUUGGCGUCUAGAACUUUGAUCAAAGCAAGGAGACAAGAUGGUCAAUGUUGUAAGUUGGCUUUACCCCAGGCUCCAUCUCCUCCUCCUCCUCCUCCUC